UUCUACAUCUUUUUGCCUGACGGGUAACGAUACUUUACCAACGGUUUGGCUGGCAUCUGUUGGGCUAUCUGGAAUUGUAGGAAUCGAGCUACGUUUGAGAUGAAAAAAAUUAUAUCUCCUUUUGAGAUUGUGUUUGAGGCUUGCGUAAACGUGAAAAACUGGGCAGGGCUGCUGAAGACGAACGAUCGCUUGGAUCUGGAGCGGGGGGCAGCACUAUUGAAGGAGAACGCCAAGAACACGAUGAGGAUCUGUGCUACAGCCUACUCGGAGAAGAUCCUGAAGUGA
rnacentral:rRNA from 1 species